rnacentral:rRNA from 1 species
UGCCAGCCGCCGCGGUAAUACGGAGGGUGCAAGCGUUAUCCGGAAUCAUUGGGUUUAAAGGGUCCGCAGGCGGACGUAUAAGUCAGUGGUGAAAGCCCGCAGCAUAACUGCGGAACUGCCAUUGAUACUGGAGAGCUUGAGUACGGUUGAAGUAGGCGGAAUUUAUGGUGUAGCGGUGAAAUGCAUAGAUACCAUAAAGAACACCGAUAGCGUAGGCAGCUUACUAAGCCGUAACUGACGCUGAGGCACGAAAGCAUGGGGAGCGAACAGGAUUAGAUA